GACGAACGCUGGCGGCGUGCUUAACACAUGCAAGUCGAGCGGUAAGGCUCCUUCGGGAGUACACGAGCGGCGAACGGGUGAGUAACACGUGAGUAAUCUGCCCUUCACUUCGGGAUAACCACCGGAAACGGUGGCUAAUACCGAAUACGACCAGUCUUCGCAUGAGGUGCUGGUGGAAAGUCUUUUCGGUGAAGGAUGUGCUCGCGGCCUAUCAGCUUGUUGGUGGGGUAAUGGCCUACCAAGGCUUCGACGGGUAGCCGGCCUGAGAGGGUGACCGGCCACACGGGGACCGGGACACGGCCCAGACUCCCAGGGGGGGCAGAGGGGGGGAAUAUGGGACAAGGGGGGAAAGCCUGACCCCGCACCGCCGCGGGGGGGGGGACGGCCUUCGGGUUUUAAACCUCUUUCAGUACCGACGAAGCCCCCUGUCGGGUGGGGACGGUAGGUACAAAAGAAGGACCGGCCAACUAGGU
rnacentral:rRNA from 1 species